CAGACAGAGCAAAGGAGACGUCGUAGAUUUGUUCGACGUACUUAUCAUUCCAUGGGAUCAAACUAUCUGUGGCAUGUGGAUGGUUAUGAUAAACUAAAGCCAUUUGGUUUCGCUUUAUAAGGAUGCAUUGACAGUUUUUCGAGACGUGUCCUGUGGCUUAAUUGUGGGCCAACUAACAAUGAUCCUGCCGUAAUUGCACACAACUUCAUUACUUGUGUACAACACAUUGGUGUUACUCCUAUGAGACUACGAAUGGACUGUGGAACAGAAAAUGGUAUAUUGGCAGCGGUACAGUGCACCCUCCGUCAUCACCAUACAGACUACUAUGCUGGCUCAAGAAGCCAUAUGUAUGGUACAUCAGUUAGCAAUCAGCGCAUUGAAUCUUGGUGGUCCAGCUUUAGAAAAUUAAGCUUUGUGUUGACUUCAUAUUCUUAAGCUUUUUUCCAAGACUGAAAAUUUAGUUUGUUUGAUGCCUUAGUGGUUAGUGUAAUAGUUAUGCAUUAUGACAUUUAUUUAAAUUAAAUUGUCACACAAAAUUACAUAAGAAUAAAUUAUUGUAUGAUGUGAUUUUUGUAUUUGGUCGUUUGUUGUAGGGCUCAGUUCUGGAUAGAACUGUUUGGGGAUCUCAGGAAUGAAGGUCACUUCAAUGGUAGCAUCGAACACCAGUGCCUGCUUCAGUUCUGCUUCCAAAAUGUUCUGCAAGAGCAUUGUGUUCUGGAUGAAUUUGUAGAACUCUGGAAUAAGCACAGGAUUAGGCCCUCCAGACUUGCAAUGUGUCCUGGAGGUAUACCAAGUGAACUCUAUCAUCUACCACACAGGUCAGGAUCAAGGGACUGUGGCUUUGCAGUUGAGGAAAUCAUGUUAUCUGCUUUUCCUGAAUCCAGGCUGACACCUCAGUUAUGUGGCGAUAAAAACAUUCGGGAAUAUCUAGAGUUUGCAAUGCAACAUACUCGAUUACAGUGGCCAGAGAACUGUGACGAAGCAUUACAACUUUAUUUCACAUCAAAGCACUUUCACUAUACCCUCAUCUGAGACAUCUUUCAAAGUGGCACUGAAUGAGGGAUGGUCUACAAUGUGGUUUACCAGGUCUUUUGAAAGAAAAUGGGGCCCUGGUCCUCCAUGCACUAUCGACACAGCAAUCAUUUUUCCUGCCAAAAAAUACUCAUCCUCCCUAACAGCUGUCAAAGGUAGCGACUACUGGGAGGUCCAUCAAAAUGGGUCGAUACUGCAGGGAACUCAUCAGCAAAGUGAGAAGUUCUCGCCUUGGUCCACCUGUAUCAAGGCCCUCUUCAAGUGUGCCAGCGUCAUCAGAGAACUUCACAAACAUGUCAUUGAAUUCCGAGUAUUAGACACGUUUAAAUCCUCUGACUGCCCCAUCCCACACAUUGGAUCUCAUA